rnacentral:tRNA from 1 species
GGAGAGGUCGCAUAGUGGCCUAGUGCGCUCGCUUGGAAAGCGAGUAUACCGAAAGGUAUCGGGAGUUCGAAUCUCCCCCUCUCCG